CACCCAUCCCUCCCCAGAUACAUUUCUGACUUAGAGCGUCUUCCUAUUAUGAUACUCCUCUCCUCCUAUUGCAAUAACCCCCUUCAUCUGAACAUAGUAAAAUCCUUCAUAGUAACAUCCAUUGCAUUUUUUUUCUUUCACAGGGAUGACGCUGUAACUCUGACAGAAUGUCAGAUGCCCCCAGGACCUUGCUUUCUUCACCCAGGCGUCAAUGCCAUCUGAUCAGAUGUUGGCUCCUUUCCUGGCUGGGGAAGUUGGGAUCCACAGUGGUGGUUUUAUGUUCCUCUGAUGCUUCCCGAAGAGCCCUUGCAAAUCAGCUACCGACUGAGUGCUCUGUCUUCAACAAAAAAGGAUUAUCUUAGAGACCCGUGGAAGCGGACUAUGCCAGCCAGGCAUCCCAUUUAAGAACACUGAAACAAUUGACCUCUGCCUGCACUCCAAACAGAUGAUUCAAUUGGUCUUCUAGGGUCAUCACUGAGAAUAUGGUGGCCCUGAGGUCUCUCUCACUCAGCCAUCUGCUGUUUGAGUUAUUCCUUAUCCUUGAAUUGUCCAUGAAGAGUCUCUCUGAGCCCACCUUGAACAAAGAGAGGGACUGACAAGGCUGAGGCAACUUUAUGCUUCAUAUAAGUUUAGGCUGCUUUGCUGAGAACCACUAGGUCCCAACUCUGCAAACUUUCUGCACUUUUGCUUGUUUACUUCAACUGAGACCAGAAUCCCAAGUCCUUGUGCCCGAGGACACAACUUUCCUGCCUCAACUUUUCUACUAGUACAACACUGGAUGCAGUUCAUUAUGUUUCAAGGCACCUUCCACACACCCAGCUGUUAGCAUGGCAUCCUUCUGCUUUGCACAGGCACCUAUCUCAGGGUCUCUGCUUACAGAAACUUUGCUUGUCCCCUCGCUCCCUCCCCCCCCCCCCCCCCCCCCCCCCCCCCCCCGCCUGACACUGCUCUGGCUCAGGCUUUGAGCACCUCUCUGCAAUAGUCUCAUUCAAUAAUACCUCUCCUUACUCGGGUCCAGACUUAACUUUUUUUUUUUCUUGACAAUUUCUUCGGCAAAAGAUAUCAUUUAGGAUUUGAUUUUUGGAAAGUAAAAUACAAAAAGUAGUCAGGAAAUUUGAACACUUGAUUAAAUAGGAUCGUGGAUUACUGAGAAAUAAUAGUUGGUUACCUAAUUAGCCAAAAUGAAGAUAUAAAUUUAAAAGUAGGCAUAGAAGGGACGUGACUAUAAAGAACUCCAGUUCUUUUUAAGUGAAAAGACUUUGUUCUCUCGAGUAAUUAAAGAUAUGAUAAAGUCAGCACAAAGUAUAGGAAAUGAGUCUAAUAAGACCCUGAAUAGUUGUUUUCUAGGCAGAUUAUUCUAAAGGUAAAGAAAAAUAUUUUUUACAAGCACUUAUUAAGAAAACACCAGUAAUCCAAGGAAAAAAAAAUGUCAUUUUAAUAGAAAGAAAACCAAAUGCUAGUUUUGAAACAGCAUAUUUGGUACUAACACUCUUAUUAAAAAUCUUAUAUUUAAAUUAAAAAAAAGAAAUGGAAAAAAAGAUUCAUAAAAACAAUCUUAUAAAUAAGCCCAUCAGCCUUAGCCAGCUGUGACUCUAAGAAAUCCAAUUCCUUUUCCAUGAACCAUCUACAACUUUCUCUAUCCAGACAAGUUUGUCAUACACUUGUCUCUCAUUUUAGACAAGUUAUUUAGUUAUUUUACUUUGGAACAAAGCUACUCCUGUUUUUCUUAACAAAAUACCCCCUGCGCACUUCAUGUGCAAAGUUGCUCCUCUCUGCUACUAUCACUCCUGUCAGAGUCUCAUUCACAUAUACUGAUUCUAAGUUUUCACUACAGCCACUUCUACUGCAUAUAGAAAACCAGGAGACGGUGUAAGAGAAGAGUUAUUCCCAGGGAAUGUGUAAAGGCGCGAGGCAGAUCUUAUUAGAACUACUGCAGUAGAGGAGAGAGACUUUGGUAUCCCAUUCCCAUGCAGCACAGACAGCUGGAGAUCUCAGGCAAGGAGCCAGUGAGGGGGUGAGUGGAUAGGAAAUUACUAAGAGGAACUUGGUUAGAUGCCAAAGUAGGGGGAUUCUUGCUAAACUGGCUUCACAGGAUUCUUACUAAAAGCAGGUGCCAAGGACUUAGAUAUCUAGGGCAGGGUAUGAGGAGCUUGAUCAGAUAUCAAGGAUGAUCCCAUAUGAAGGGGGGCAAGUGUCAAUUAACUAGCUUAGGAUUCAUUGCUAAAGUGGGGGCUCAGCAGGCCAAGGUCGAGCCUAGUCUAGAAGAAGGCUCACAGGAGCCUAACCAAAGUUUGGUCAAGGAAGGAGUAUCUGAUAGUAAAUAACUGUAAACUGUCUUCAUACACCAGUAUUUUCUAGCAGACUAGCAAAGUUUAUAAAUAUACAUCUCAACAUCUCAUAAUUUUUAUAAUCAUAAGCGUUCCUUAUAGGUACAGCUUCUCAAUGUGGCAAAAAUGAACAUGUGCAUUAACAGACCCAAAUAGAUAGCCUCUCUGUAUUAUAGAAAAGUAAAAGUCCAAAAGUAUAUAAAAUGAAAUUGUAUUCAGCAAUUAAUGCUUCAAUUUUUUCUCUUACUUAGAUAGGAUUUAGGUGUCUAAUGAAUAUUCAUAAAUUAAGUCAAUUUAGCAUCAGUCCAAGGUUUUAAGCUACCAAUUCAUUUUGGACACUGUCUUUAAGCUGACAUACUGCAAAAUAUAAUUACUUUGAAAUAAAGUUUGUCCAAAUAAUGACUUAAUUUGACUAAUACAAAUGUACAUUUUUAUAAUCUUAAAAUAUAGUAACUGAAAUGAUAGUAUAUUAAAUCAGCCAAACUUUAUAAAUUGAGGAAAAAUAUGCUUGCAUAAAAUAAAAAUAUAUGUUUCUAUUACAUUUAAUGCUGACAACUCAGAAGAUAUAGCUGUUUUUAUUAAACCAAUAAUAUUAAAUUAGUCUCAUUUGCUAGAGUUACCUAAAUUAUGUAAACUUGAAUUCUUAGAACACUUGAAUUACUGCCUAUAAGAAUGUAUUUUGAGCACAUUGAAAGUAUUAGAAAUCGAAUUUUUUCAAUAUCUGGGAAUUUUUAAGAAUAGUCCUUUAUUUGUAUAUGCCUUUAGCUAACUCUAAGUCAAUUAGAAUAAAACUCUUUAAAAAUUUUCUUAUAAUCUAAUUUAGUAAUACCAUCUGGAAGUAGGAAAAUAUUACAUAUCUAUAGACACAUAAACAUACAUAAAAACCUAGAAAACUUAUAGCUUCUAUUCCAAAAUUUUAGCCCAUACAUCAGGGGUAAACCCAAAAAUACAAAACUCAUUUUUCAUAUAAAAAGAGCUCUUCUCUAAUGGGUACAAAUUCUUAGUUGAUUUGAGUUCAAAAUUGGGGAAAAAUGAACAAACAGAAAAGAGUAACAAACAUGAUUUUCUGUCAUCUUUCAUUCAAAAGAGAAAAAUAUCUAUAAACCAUUUAAUUCACUUACAGAGAUAGCCAAAUUAUCAAACUACAAAACCAAAAAAAAAAAAAAAAAAUCCAUCACCAGAAAUCAACUAAAGACUCAAAAAAAAAAAAAAAAAAUCAAAAUGAAAUUCUUACCAUGCUUCCAACAGACAAGAGUCUGGACAUAGGACCAGGAUCAGGACUCACCUUUAGACCCCUGGGUUGCCAGCCAGGAAUGGAGCACAAAAGGCUCCAGAUGGCCUUAUUACCUGGCUGGAGCAGAUGGGAAUCUGGAGGCAAGGUGCCAUCCUGAGGCAAACUGUCAAAGACAAAAACCAGACAAGUUAGGAGACCAAAAUGAGGGAGACUAUCACAAUAGGAGUAUCAACCCCAGUCUAAAUAUCUUCGGAGCACCUCUACUCUUAUAGACGUUUGCAAAUGAGGUGGUUUUACACCCUGGCUUUGCAAGCUGCAGAAAUAAGCCUUAUUUAUCAAAACAGGAAAUGGUUUUUCCCAAAUAUGGCUAGCUUGCUACCUUCGGAGAGCAGAGAGUUUUAAUCUCCGUUAAUCAACCAUGAGCUAAAGAACAGGAUGUGAAAGUGUCUUGUUUUGCCUUGUCAGCACAUUCAGACCAAAGGGGAAAGUGCGUGGGGUUUUGUCACACGUGAUCAAAGAUCUUGGAGCCAAGAGCUUCGAGCGGAAGUAACAGCACGUGAUCAAAGGUCUUGGAGCCAAGAGCUUCAAGCGGAAAUACCAACACAGGAAAUGAGACUUCUAGCCCCCCCCCUGAAGCGAGGCUAAAUCCUUCCUCAGCCCAGUGGGCUCUUCUACACGGAAUACACUUACUUUCCAUGCCCCCCACCCCGCCACGCACACGCACCUCCUUACAUGUAGCCUCUCUUCCCCUCUUAACACUUCUAUCCACAUCUCUCCAUUUCCAGAUGCCAGCCCGCUCUAUCACCCGAUCCCUUCAAGGCUACUGCGAUACCACCUAAAUGUUUUCCUGCCUUCCUGACUUUUCUCCCACAAUUCUGUUUCCAAGAAGCAGUCAAAGCGAAACGAGGUGAAAACUGAUUUCUUUACUACCCUGUUCAAAAGUUUUCAGUCUCUCCCUGUUACCUUUCCAAAAUGGUCUACACUGCAUAGCAGAACGUGCAAGCCUUUCACAUUCUGGCUCACCUCUUCUUUUGCCAGCCCUGAGCAGACUCUACUCUCCAGCUCUGUUGAACGCUUGCGGUUCCCAAACAGCCCAUGCUCUUCUCCACGUCUAGACCCUUGUUUGUGUUUUCCUUUCUGCCUCCAAUGCCCUCUCUCCACCUGGCUACGUCCUUAAGGACAUGCGGGCUAAGUCCUGCGUGUAUACAUGAGGUUUAGAUGACACAUACUCCGGGCUCGCCCCUGGCCCCACCUGUUCUCUCAGCCUUCCCAAAUCUGAAUGGGCCGCAACUUCUCCAUUCCAUACUCUCUUCUUUCAUAGCACUUACUGUACCAGUUGGAAAAGUGCUCUUUGCCUGUCUCUGCAAAUAAAUGAGAAACUCCCUGAAAGUCAA